rnacentral:rRNA from 1 species
AGAUUAGAACGCGUGGCGGCAUCGACCUAAACACAUGACAAGUCGAGGCGGCAGCGGGCGGGGGCCGACCCGUGGCGGCGAGCGGCGGGACGGGUGAAGUAAGGCAGUACGGAAUCUCGCCCUGAUGGUGGGGGAAUAACGGUAAGGGUAAACUUACGACUAAUACCGCAUACCGACCGAGAGGUAGAAAGGCGGGGGAACCGAAAGGCCUCGCGCAGCGAGGAUGACGCCGAUCGUCCGAUUAGUUAGUUGGUGGGGGUAAAAGGCCUACCAAGGCUACGAUCGGUAGCUGGUCUGAGAGGACGACCAGCCACACUGGGACUGAGACACGGCCCAGACUCCUACGGGAGGCAGC